CAUUCUUGUUUCAAGUGUCACUGUAACGUACAUUGUUUAAGUCCUCCCACGAUCUUGCCCUAACCCUAACUAAGUAGUUUAACCCUGCACAUUGAAAAAUAUCAAUAUCACCAAAUCGGUCCCGAACCAGUGCGUCAAAAAGUGAUGUCUAUGGUCAACUCAAGACCAACCAACCAAAGGGGUACCCGGAACAUCAAAUAUUGCCACUGGUGGAAGGUUGGGGAGGUAGAUGUGUCCCCACCUACGAUCAUUCCCUAACUAUUUGGUUUUACUCUGCACAGUAAAAAAUUACGCCAAUGGGCUGCGUCUGACUGAAACGCUAAAGGAGAGUUUUUGCGUCAGUAACUAACGCCAAAGGCACCUGAUCAUGUGUGUUUUUUUGACGCGCUUGGAGUGAGAAUGUGUUGAAAUGAAAAAAAGGGAAAGACACAAUAUGUUCAUAUUCAGGAUAUGUCAUUUAUGUAGCAGAUAGCUCCUGUAUACACAAUUGUAUCAUUCCUCCACAUUCAGCAUCUGAGCUUCUGUCACCUUUGACUUACCUCAGCAGUUGAGGGCACACCCACUUUAGUUUGUGGUUGUAUCCUGGACUGUUGGAUUUACCGCUUCUGGCUUCUACAUGUGUGAGAGACAACUGUGUCUGAUAUACAUUGUGUUGAGAUGAGCGCUGUAAGAAAGUGAUGGGAUUAAAAUGGCUGUAUUACAGCUUUAGACUUCUGCUCACCACAUUGUUUAUUUUUAUUUUUUAUUUGACAUUCAUUUAACCAGGGAGUCCCUUAAGAUUAAAAUCUCUUUUUUGAGGGAGACCUGGACAAGAUUAGCCUAGAAAUCUAGACGCACCCUAGUCUACAUCUUGAUGUGGGUCUGGCUUGUCAGGCUAGGCCAAGAUAGCACACUGAUACAAGGUUACACAAUUAUUAAACAGAGCAUAUCAAAAACAUACAAGGCAACAGACAACAGACAAUUCACUAGCAAGGACCACACCAUCAACCAGAUACAUUUUGAACAAUUUAAUAAUGACAGAUGAUGGGAAUGCGAGGCAUGGAAUCGCUGGAAUGCACUUAGGACCUAAAGAAGAGGAGAAAGGAGAGGAACAGAAACAGGGUGGGAGGGAGUGGUGCAGAAUGCAGGAGCGAAUGAGAUGAGAGGGUUAGGUGGGUAUUUAUAGGAAUACCGGAAUACCUUGUUUGAGGUGUAGCCCUGCUCCUGAAACUCUGCUAGGUAGCAUCAAUUAAAAUAGAUGCAUACACAUAUAUUAUAUAGAUAUAUGACUAGUUAAAUAAAAGACUGACACAUAUCUGUUUACAUUGUCAGACUGACCUGCUUGGGGAGACUUGACUGACACCCCCAUUAAAGGAAAAGCUGUUAAUAUUCAUUUGAUUGGAGUGCAUAUUACGAAAUAAUUUUGAAAUGGAUCCAAUGCCCAGAACCCAACUAACACAGAUGGAAGUUGGAGCUUUCUGGGCCCCUGGGGCUCUAAUGCAUCGGACGCUUAAUGGGCUCGCCACUAACAGUUAUCAGUUUCUCUUCAAUGACCACUGACAAGCUAAGAAAAAUAGGCUACACCCUCCUACAACCGCGAUGGCUGCACCUGAUUGGACGAACACUUCACGCGUGGGGCUGUCUACUUCCGAAUUUCUAAAUUCUAAAUUUCUAAACAGACCAACAUGGUGGCCAUUUUAUUUAAGAAAUAACGAAUAAGGAUUGAUAACGGUCAGUUUAAAAGAUUUUUGUGAGUUUUUGAGAGGCGGCGAGUCGAGCUAGAUGCCCCUGACAACUUCAUGCAAACGAGGAGUGGGCGACUCAAUGCCCCGACUCUGGAAAGUGCCUGCGAUGCUACCAGAAUGCGUUGUGCUGCUGCUCACAAAGACAUCAUCUGUUCAGAUCCAAAUAAUAUAUCUAUUUGCUUUCUGCCUCCUGUUUGCUCUGUUCUUUCAGCAAUAAACGAUAAUAAAAGAUUUCAAUAGUCU